rnacentral:rRNA from 1 species
UGGCGGCGUGCUUACACAUGCAAGUCGAACGAUGAUGCCCAGCUUGCUGGGCGGAUUAGUGGCGAACGGGUGAGUAACACGUGAGUAACCUGCCCUUGACUUCGGGAUAACUCCGGGAACCGGGGCUAAUACCGGAUAUGAGCCGUCCUCGCAUGGGGGUGGUUGGAAAGUUUUUCGGUCAGGGAUGGGCUCGCGGCCUAUCAGCUUGUUGGUGGGGUGAUGGCCUACCAAGGCGACGACGGGUAGCCGGCCUGAGAGGGCGACCGGCCACACUGGGACUGAGACACGGCCCAGACUCCUACGGGAGGCAGCAGUGGGGAAUAUUGCACAAUGGGCGAAAGCCUGAUGCAGCGACGCCGCGUGAGGGAUGAAGGCCUUCGGGUUGUAAACCUCUUUCAGCAGGGAAGAAGCGCAAGUGACGGUACCUGCAGAAGAAGCGCCGGCUAACUACGUGCCAGCAGCCGCGGUAAUACGUAGGGCGCAAGCGUUGUCCGGAAUUAUUGGGCGUAAAGAGCUCGUAGGCGGUUUGUCGCGUCUGGUGUGAAAACUCGAGGCUCAACCUCGAGCUUGCAUCGGGUACGGGCAGACUAGAGUGCGGUAGGGGAGACUGGAAUUCCUGGUGUAGCGGUGGAAUGCGCAGAUAUCAGGAGGAACACCGAUGGCGAAGGCAGGUCUCUGGGCCGCAACUGACGCUGAGGAGCGAAAGCAUGGGGAGCGAACAGGAUUAGAUACCCCUGGUAGUCCAUGCCGUAACGUGGG